GUGUCCUCUGGCUUCUCAGUUGGGGAGUCUGCACCCAGCAGGUGGGAGCGCGCUUCCUGUUCUGCCCUGCGGGCAACCACUGGCAUCUGCAACUUCUGAGGAGCUGAAACUUUGCAGAGCGUCCUGGACAGUGUCCUGGAGUUUCUAAAAUCUCUUUGCCACGUGUGUUAAAGUUCCAUGCCAUGCCAUCUUAAAAUUCUAUGAUCAGCAAAACCUCACGUUUGUAGCAUCGCCCAUUUACCUACAGUACCUUAUAAAUUCCAGCCAGGUAAAUUGCCAAGAUGCCCUGUGACUUGGCUCUCAGGUCCUUGUACAUAGAACUUCUACCACCACUGUGCGGGCUACUAAC
rnacentral:lncRNA from 1 species